rnacentral:rRNA from 1 species
GUGUCAGCAGCCGCGGUAAUACGUAGGUGGCAAGCGUUAUCCGGAAUUACUGGGCGUAAAGCGCACGCAGGCGGUCUUGUAAGUUUGACGUGAAAGCUCCCGGCUUAACUGGGAGAGGUCGUUGAAUACUGCAAGACUUGAGUUUAGGAGAGGGGUGUAGAAUUCCCGGUGUAGUGGUGGAAUGCGUAGAUAUCGGGGGGAAUACCAGUGGCGAAAGCGGCACCCUAGCCUUUGACUGACGCUCAUGUGCGAAAGCGUGGGGAGCGAACGGGAUUAGAUACCCCGGUAGUCCACGCCGUAAACGAUGAACACUAGGUGUAGGUGAUGUGAAAGUUAUCUGUGCCGAAGCCAACGCGUUAAGUGUUCCGCCUGGGGAGUACGGCCGCAAGGCUAAA